CGGAAGUGAAACGCAGCCGCGCCGAUGGUAGUGUGGCUCAAGCCAUGCGAGAGUAGGUCAUCGCCAGGG
rnacentral:rRNA from 1 species